AUGGCCUGGUCCCUCGUCCUUCUCACCUUCCUUGCUCACUGCACAGGGUCCUGGGCCCAGGCUGUGUUGACUCAGCCGCCCUCUGUGUCUGGGGCCCUGGGCUAGACGGUCACCAUCUCCUGCAAUGGAAGCAGCUCCAACAUCGGGGGUGGAUAUUAUGUGAGCUGGCACCAACAGCUCCCAGGAACCGCCCCCAGAACUGUCAUCUAUAGUAAUAACAACCGACCGUCGGGGAUCCCAGAUCGAUUCUCUGGCUCCAAGUCUGGCAGCUCAGCCACCCUGACCAUCACUGGGCUCCAAGCUGAGGACGAGGCAGAUUAUUACUGUCAGUCCUAUGAUAGCAGUCCCAGUGCUCACACAGUGCUCCAGUCCUGA